ensembl:rRNA 5S_rRNA 5S ribosomal RNA
GUCUACGGCCAUACCACCCUGAACGCGCCCGAUCUCGUCUGAUCUCGGAAGCUAAGCAGGGUCGGGCCCGGUUAGUACUUGGAUGGAGACCGCCUGGGAAUACCGGGUGCUGUAGGCU